AAACUUACCUGGCAGGAGAGAUACCUGAUCGCGAAGGUGGUUUUCCCAGGGUGAGGUUUAUCUAUUGCACUUUGGAUGUGCUGACCCCUGUGAUUUCCCCAAAUGUGGGAAACUCAACUGCGUAACUUGUGGUAGUGGGGGACUGUGUUAGCACUUUCCCCUG
ensembl:snRNA U1 U1 spliceosomal RNA